GUCAGUUGUGGCUGGGCGGCAGUGGGGGCAGCAGCGGGUCCGGCUCCCUCCACCGCAGACGAUUCCAGAAAAACAGCAGCCAUGCCGUCCACCAAGAAAGGGUCCAAGAAGUCCUCGAAGAAGGCGGGAAGCAGCGUCUUCUCCUCGUUUACUCAGCAGCAAGUGUCAGAGUUCAAGGAGGGUUUCGCCAUCAUGGAUGCCGACCGCGACGGCAUCCUCAACAAAGCAGACAUCAGAAACUCAUUUGACAUCAUCGGCAAGAUCAUCUCAGAAAAGGAACUGGACGAGAUGCUUAACGAUGCUCCUGGUCCCAUCAGCUUCACCAUGUUCGUCAACAUGUUUGCCGAGCGGCAGUCAGGGCCCACUGACGAAGACGAGGUCAUCAUUAAGGCUUUCAAGGCCUUCGACAGGGGCGACGGUAAGAUAGAUUCAGAGCAGUUCCGCGGCCAGCUCAUGUCCUUUGGCGACAAGAUGAAAGGGAAGGAGGUCGACGACGUCAUGGCGGAGAUGGAGUUCGACGAGGAGAAUAACAUCGAGCUGGACCCGCUGAUUGAGAUGAUAGUCGGCAAGACGGAGGAAGAGAACGCCGAGGGACAGGGCGAGGCGCCCGCCGAGUAGACCCGGUACGUCGGCCCCUCACUCGGCACCCGGAUCGUCAACCCUUCACCCGGAUCGUCACCGUGACCUUUCAUCUUUCCAAGCAACCCACUGACCCGAACACAGCUGUUCCGGGACCUGGGACUCGACUGGGUCGAAUAGUGGCGCCGCGGCGCGGGAACCGCGGGAACCAGGUGCUCGGGCGCCCGCGGGCCCUGCCGCCGCCGCGCCCCGUCCCCUGCCUUUGGCCCGCGCGCGGCGCGAACACAAGUUCCGUGCGCCGCGAAGGGGGCGCGCGUCUCUCAUCCCUGUGCCGGCGCCCGCUGGCGUCUCUGCUGGUCCGAGCGACAGUCGUGAUGUCUCGCGGCGCUCCAAUAAACUCCGGGCCGACCUGA